GAUAAACAAACUAUUGUUUCAGAAAUGUGAAUAGAGACAGUAUUAAAGUAGUUCUGUGCACUCUUUAGAAGUGUUUUGUAACUGAGAAGUUAUUCUUCUUGUUACAUAUUUUUCCUAGUUUCAGUCUUGUUUUGUGUGUAUUUAAAAAAUAACUGUUGAGCUUCUCUGAAAAGCUUCCUGUUAUUUUUUUGUUAAAGUGGUGUAGUUUCCUGAUGUGUCAGUAGAGCUGCUGUCUGCGUGAGACUCGAUCUGACACUCUUCUGCUGGGAUUGAGCUCUUCUGGAAACUGAACUUUAGAGAAAUGAUGCUGAUCUUUGGACUGAUGCUGCUGCUGCAAACUGCUGCAUGUGUGGAGUGGAACUGCAGUUUUAAUCAAUCAUAUCCCUGUUACGCAGCCCUGGGAGACAAACUCAAUCUGCUGAUGGUCCGGGAUGCCAGUGAAUAUGACCUGAAUUUAAAAAAGAGAAUAAACAACACACAAGAUGAUCAAGUUUGUAGAGUAAAAUAUGGCAACAAGAAGGAAUGUGAUCUUUAUAAUAACAGAACUGAAGUGACAGUCAUUAAUGGGACUGUGAUAAUAAACCGUGUGAUCAGAGCAGAUUCUGGAAAUUACAGAUUAACACUCACCGAACACUCAGGUGGCACAGAAACAUCUAGAGAUCUUCAAGUGAUUGUUGAAGCUCCAGUUGCCUCAGUGGAAGUGUCAAUCAGCUGCUCCUCCAAUCAGAGGUCAGUGUCCUGCUCCUCAGAGGGGGAUCAGCUCCUCUACAGCUGGACUCUGAAUGGAGAUCCACAGAAGGAUGGAAACAGCAGCAUUGAUCUGGAUGAGGGAACUGAUGGAAACAUCAGCUGCAGCGUGAAGAACCACGUCAGUCACGUACAGAAGACCAUUAGAAUCAAAACCUGUCCUGGUCCAGAUCGUUUUUGCAGUUUUUAUCAAUCAGAUUCCUGUUACGCAGCUGUGGGAGACGAUCUUAAUCUACUGAUGGUGCGGGAUGCUCGAGAUCAAGAGCUGCAUUUGUAUAAGGAGUUAAUGGAUAGCAGAGAACUGGAAGUUUUUAGAAUAAAGAACAAAAAAGAGAAAAAACAUGAAUCCAUCAGAAACAGAUCUGAGUUCAUCUUUGAUAAUGGGACUCUGAUAAUAAACCGUGUGAUCAGAGCAGAUUCAGGGAAUUACAGAUUAGAAUUCUAUCACUCAGACGGUUUAAGACCGUUUAAAAAGCUUCUUCGUAUUAAUAUUGAAGCUCCUACUGGCUCAGUGGAAAUGUCAAUCAGCUGCUCCUCCAAUCAGAGGUCAGUGUCCUGCUCCUCUGAGGGCGAUCAGAUCAUCUACAGCUGGACUUUGAAUGGAGAAAUACUAGAACAAGGACCAAUGGAUGGAAUCACCACCAUUCAGCUAAAUGAGGAAACUGAUGGAAACAUCAGCUGCAGUGUCAAGAACCACAUCAGUCACGCACAGAAGACAAUUAAAGUCAAACCCUGUCCUGGUCCGGAUCGGUUCUGCAGUUUUAAUCAAUCAGAUCCCUGUUACACAGCUCUGGGAGACAAACUCAAUCUGCUGAUGGUGCUGAACACUAGAGAAUAUGACCUGAAGAUACGUAAGAGGAUAUACAACACUCAAGAUGAUCCAGUUUGUAGAGUAAAAUAUGGCAGGAUGAAGGAAUGUGAUCUUAAUAAUAACAGACCUGAAGUGAACAUCAUUAAUGGGACUGUGAUAAUAAACCGUGUGAUCAGAGCAGAUUCUGGGAAUUACAGAUUAACACUCACUGACUCAAAAGGCACAGAAACAUCUAGAGAUCUUCAAGUGAUUGUUGAAGCUCCUAUUGGCUCAGUGGAAGUGUCAAUCAUCUGCUCCUCCAGUGGGGUGAUGAGGGUGUUCUGCUCCUCUGAGGGGGAUCAGCUCCUCUACAGCUGGACUCUGAAUGGAGAUCCACUGAUGGAUGGAAACAGCAGCAUUGAUCUGGAUGAGGGAACUGAUGGAGACAUCAGCUGCAGCGUGAAGAACCACGUCAGUCACGCACAGAAGACCAUUAGAGUCCAACCCUGUCCUGGACCAACUACUGCAGCUGUGACCUCUAGUUUGACCUCUACGUCGACACAGACAUCAGAAUAUGUUUUAAAAUUCUCUCUGAUUGCUUUGGGCUGCGUUGCUCUGAUCCUGAUUCUGCUGUUCAUCACCGUAUGUUACGUUUACAAGAAGAAGCAGCUCAAGUCAACACAAGUCCCUGCUGGAGAUACAGAGCUCAUAUACGCUGAUAUCUCUCAUGAGAAAAAGAGUGAAAAGAAGAAUACAGGUAAGAAACUCAAAGAAGUUGCAGUUACACAAUGUAGAUGUUGUUAACAUUAACAAUUUGAGAACAAAGUAUUACAAUAAUUUGCACAGUUUGACUGACUUUGCGAUCAUUAGAUUUAAUCACCAUUGCUAUACCACAAAAGUGACAGACAUGUUACUUCUUCAGAUGACAUUUUCUGGUGAAACUUCUUAUUUUGGACAUACUUCCAAGACUUAGUAUCUGUAAUUCUGAAAAACAGUAAAUAUUGGUUUGGUGACUGACAGCCACACAUACACCUCAAAAC
ensembl:lncRNA